AAGAGAUUUCUUAGAAUGAGAUUUAGAGUGUCUUGGCUUUAAGUUAGCACUCGCUCUUGCAUUGUGGACUAGAAUUCAAUAGUAGCUACUUCUGUGAAGAGAUAUAGAUUCAAACACUCCUUGGUUAUGUAGAUUCAAGUUUCAUCCUAGAGCAUUACCCUAAAACCUUCACGGUGGGCCUUGAUGAUCUAUUUUCAUAAUAUAUAUAGUAUAUUCAAAAAUGUAAAUUGUUUUUUUUUUUUUUGCAGGGAAAGAUUUGUCCUGAGCUAACAUCUGUUGCCAAUCUCCCUCUUUUUUUUUUUUCUCCUCCCCAAAGUCCCAGUGUAUGGUUGUAUAUCCUGGUUGUAAGUCCUUCUGGUUCUUCUAUGAGAACCGCUGCCACAGCAUGGCAACUGACAGAUGAGUGAUGUGGUUCCACGACCAGGACAUGAACACAGGCCGCCAAAGUGAGAUCCUGUGGAAGGAAGAGGCCUGAGCUCUAAUCCUGUUCUGACAUAGAGAGACAAAGAUGGCAUGCUGCAAGAAUUCAUUUCUUGGAGAAGGACAUUUCUUGUAGACUGGAUCACAGAAGCUUUUUGUGAGAGCAUAGCAGACUAGAUACACUGAGUGACACCCCUGUGAAAACAGCUAAGAAACAAGGAAAAAGAUUUUUAUAAGAAAUGGAACUGGCGAGAAGGUGGAGUAAUGAGAGACCAUAAACAACGUAAAAGCAUGUGCCCAGAGAGGAAAGUGGAGCCGUGAAGUCGGCUUUCAUGAAGAACACUUGUGGAACUGUGAGAGCCUCCUGAGGCAUAGAAGACGCGAGUCACAGCCCAGGGCCCUGGAAAGGCAAGGGUUCUAAAAAAGACACUUCUACCACUUGCACAAAGCUAGGACCCCAAGGGGCACACCCUUAGUUUAAGAAGGUACCUUAGUUUAAGGUGGUACCUUCUUAGCCUUGGGGGAGUGCAAGGGAAACUUUCUCAUUUUUUGCUGCUGAGUGGAGAGAAC